CUUCGGUUUAACAACACCGUUCGAGAACUUGAAACCGUUUAUAAUUUCACCAAUAUCGUCCUCUUUGCGUUGACACUUUUUGGAUAAAACGAUAUUAUCGGAAAAAAUUUUCUCGAUAUUCCAAUCGAGAACGAUGGCGAUGGAAUUUUGCGCAGGGUCGAUGAUAAAUUUUGACGUAGUGUCAGAAAAGUUGGAACGACGCAUGGCCAUACGGAACACCGUGAGGGCCGAUGAUCGCUGCAGACUGCUCUGUCCGAGAGCAGCGAGGCUUCUCCGCAACGGCGAAACCGUGUACGCUGGUGCUGCUGUCGGUUGCUUCUCCACCACGGCACGAGUACCGUGCUGUCGUGGCUCCUCACCACCACGUAGAACCCUAAAUCCUGCGUAACGCACGCCCCCACUCUCCCUGAAACGUUUCCCCACCAACAUGCUUCUAUCCAACAUCCCCGUUGCCGAAGAUCGACCGUCACGCAACCAAUUCCUGUAUUUUAGAAAAGUUGCUUGUGCGCUUCGAUUCAGUCGUGAAUGAACUUGCUCUUCAACCUGCUGUCCCUGUAAUCUUUACAAGGCUAUUGAAUCAUCCGGGAUAAAUAUAUCUUUGUAUUUAACACUUCAUCGAAGUAAUUACACGAUUUAUCAUUUGAUACGCAUUUACGAAUCGAAAAUUGAAAGUAUUU